GACGAACGCUGGCGGCGUGCUUAACACAUGCAAGUCGAACGGUAAGGCCCUUCGGGGUACACGAGUGGCGAACGGGUGAGUAACACGUGGGUGAUCUGCCCUGCACUUCGGGAUAAGCCUGGGAAACUGGGUCUAAUACCGGAUAGGACUCCGGACUGCAUGGUCUGGGGUGGAAAGCUUUUGCGGUGUGGGAUGGGCCCGCGGCCUAUCAGCUUGUUGGUGGGGUGAUGGCCUACCAAGGCGACGACGGGUAGCCGGCCUGGGAGGGUGACCGGCCACACUGGGACUGAGAUACGGCCCAGACUCCUACGGGAGGCAGCAGGGGGGAAUAUUGCACAAUGGGCGCAAGCCUGAUGCAGCGACGCCGCGUGAGGGAUGACGGCCUUCGGGUUGUAAACCUCUUUCAGCAUCGACGAAGCGAAAGUGACGGUAGGUGCAGAAGAAGGACCGGCCAACUACGUGCCAGCCGCCGCGGUAA
rnacentral:rRNA from 1 species